rnacentral:rRNA from 1 species
GUGGGGAAUUUUGGACAAUGGGCGCAAGCCUGAUCCAGCAAUGCCGCGUGCAGGAAGAAGGCCUUCGGGUUGUAAACUGCUUUUGUACGGAACGAAAAGGCUCUGGCUAAUACCUGGAGCUCAUGACGGUACCGUAAGAAUAAGCACCGGCUAACUACGUGCCAGCAGCCGCGGUAAUACGUAGGGUGCGAGCGUUAAUCGGAAUUACUGGGCGUAAAGCGUGCGCAGGCGGUGCUGUAAGACAGGCGUGAAAUCCCCGGGCUCAACCUGGGAAUUGCGCUUGUGACUGCAGUGCUGGAGUGCGGCAGAGGGGGAUGGAAUUCCGCGUGUAGCAGUGAAAUGCGUAGAUAUGCGGAGGAACACCGAUGGCGAAGGCAAUCCCCUGGGCCUGCACUGACGCUCAUGCACGAAAGCGUGGGGAGCAAACAGGAUUAGAAACCCGUGUAGUCC